rnacentral:lncRNA from 1 species
GUGCUGGGAAGGGACGAGCAUGGUCCCUUUAAAUGAUACCGAACGGGGGACAGGGAAGUGCUGGGUAGAGCAAGGCCGGUUCCUGGCUAGGGCUUCACCCUCUGGCUUGUGCCCACGAACCUAGGUGAGGACAGGCACUCCUGCCUUUGGGCCCAAAUGUUGCAUUUUCCAAAACCACCCUGGCCCACCACACCCCCAUCCUGGGCGGAUAAAAACUGAGACCCUAGCAGGCAGAUAGAUACACAAGCGUCUGGACGUCCAGAGGAGGGGAUCAGCGGAAGAAGACACAAGCAGCCGGACAUCGAGAGGAUGUCGAGGGGAGCAUGCCAGUGGAAGAGCACAUGACAGACACUGGCAGGACAGCAGGCCAUUGACUGGAGGAACGAUGUGGAGUUUAGCGAGAUCAGGAGGAGGAGAGCACGGGCCGCUAAGCAGAGGGACCCCUGGUGCAUCUCCCAUCUGGCUCCCCCAUCUGCUGAGAACUACUUCUACUCAGUAAAACCUCGGACUCAUUCUCCAAGCCCUCGCGUGAUCUGGUUCUUCCGGUACACCACGGCAGGAAACCCUGGGAUACAGAAAUCCCUCCGUCCUUGUGGAUUUUAGAAUGCCAAGCUGACAUUUUGAGUUUUUAUGAGAAACCAGAAAAUUUGGUGUGAAGACCCUAAGUGGUGUGUCUGACUUACAGCAGGCCCACAGCAAAUACAUUGGAGACUUCUCAACUUUCUGCUUCUGAUGAUCUCAACUUGUGGUAUGGCAAAAGGAGAGCAAAAUGUUCACCCAGGAACGAGAAGUCCUGGCAGCUGAGUCAUGAUCCCCCAGGAGCCAUUAAGAAGUUAAUCUUCAGUCACUUCCAUCCAAACAGAAGAAAACCCAUGAAGGAUGAGAACUAUGGGUCCUGAGAAUGACAGGUAUUGAAGACAGGAUUUAUCUUCUCUACUUCUUCUUUUAGAAGCAGAUCAAGAAACUGGCGAUUGAAGAGUAACUGAAAGAAACGCAAUCUGAUCUUACUAGCAGUGAAAGAGCGAGUCUCCCUCUGAUGCCGAGCAGAAGCUAGACUGUACUGCUGCCAUCUCAGCUCACUGCAACCUCCCUGCCUGAUUCUCCUGCCUCAGCCUGCUGAGUGCCUGCAAUUGCAGGCGCGCCGCCACGCCUGACUGGUUUUCGUAUUUUUUUGGUGGAGACGGGGAUUCGCUGUGUUGGCCGGGCUGGUCUCCAGCUCCUAACCGCGAGUGAUCCACCAGCCUCGGCCUCCUGAGGUGCCGGGAUUGCAGACGGAGUCUGGUUCACUCAGUGCUCAAUGGCGCCCAGACUGGAGUGCAGUGGCGUGAUCUCAGCUCGCUACAACCUCCACCUCCCAGCCGCCUCCCUUGGCCUCCCAAAGUGCAGAGAUUGCAGCCUCUGCCCGGCCGCCACCCCGCCUGGGAAGUGAGGAGCGUCUCUGCCUGGCCGCCCAUUGUCUGGGAUGUGAGGAGCCCCUCUGCCUGGCUGCCCAGUCUGGAAAGUGAGGAGUGUCUCUGCCUGGCCGCCAUCCCAUCUAGGAAGUGAGGAGCGCCUCUUCCCGGCCGCCAUCCCAUCUAGGAAGUGAGGAGCCUCUCUGCCCAGCCGCCCAUCGUCUGAGAUGUGGGGAGCGCCUCUGCCCCGCCGCCCCGUCUGGGAUGUGAGGAGCGCCUCUACCCCGCCGCGACCCCGUCUGGGAGGUGAGGAGCGUCUCUGCCCGGCGGCCCCGUCUGGGAAGUGAGGAGACCCUCCGCCCGGCAGCCGCCCCAUCUGAGAAGUGAGGAGCCCCUCUGCCCAGCAGCCACCCUGUCUGGGAAGUGAGGAGCGUCUCUGCCCAGCAGCCACCCCGUCUGGGAGGGAGGUGGGGGGUCAGCCCCCCGCCCGGCCAGCCGCCCCGUCCGGGAGGUGAGGGGCGCCUCUGCCCGGCGGCCCCUACUGGGAAGUGAGGAGCCCCUCUGCCCGGCCAGCCGCCCCGUCUGGGAAGUGAGGAGCGUCUCCGCCCAGCAGCCACCCCGUCCGGGAGGGAGGUGGGGGGAUCAGCCCCCCGCCCGGCCAGCCGCCCAGUCCGGGAGGGAGGUGGGGGGGUCAGCCCCCCGCCCGGCCAGCCGCCCCGUCCGGGAGGUGAGGGGUGCCUCUGCCCGGCCGCCCCUACUGGGAAGUGAGGAGCCCCUCUGCCCGGCCAGCCGCCCGGUCCGGGAGGGAGGUGGGGGGGUCAGCCCCCUGCCUGGCAAGCCGCCCCGUCUGGGAGGGAGGUGGGGGGAUCAGCCCCCCGCCGGGCCAGCCACCCCGUCCGGGAGGUGAGGGGUGCCUCUGCCCGGCCGCCCCUACUGGGAAGUGAGGAGCCCCUCUGCCCGGCCAGCCGCCCCAUCCGGGAGUGAGGUGGGGGGGUCAGCCCCCUGCCCGGCCAGCCGCCCCGUCCGGGAGGUGAGGGGCGCCUCUGCCCGGCCGCCCCUACUGGGAAGUGAGGAGCCCCUCUGCCCGGCCACCACCCCGUCUGGGAGGUGUACCCAACAGCUCAUUGAGAACGGGCCAUGAUGACAAUGGCGGUUUUGUGGAAUAGAAAGCGGGGAAAGGUGGGGAAAAGAUUGAGAAAUCGGAUGGUUGCCGUGUCUGUGUAGAAAGAGGUAGACAUGGGAGACUUUUCAUUUUGUUCUGUACUAAGAAAAAUUCUUAUCCUGUUGAUCUGUGACCUUACCCCCAACCCCGUGCUCUCUGAAACAUGUGCUGUGUCCACUCAGGGCUAAAUGGAUUAAGGGCGGUGCAAGAUGUGCUUUGUUAAACAGAUGCUUGAAGGCAGCAUGCUCGUUGAGAGUCAUCACCACUCCCUAAUCUCAAGUAACCAGGGACACAAACACUGUGGAAGGCCGCAGGGUCCUCUGCCUAGGAAAACCAGAGACCUUUGUUCACUUGUUUAUCUGCUGACCUUCCCUCCACUAUUGUCCUAUGACCCUGCCAAAUCCCCCUCUGCGAGAAACACCCAAGAAUGAUCAAUAAAAAAAUAAAAUAAAAUAAAAUAAAAUAAAAUAAAUAAAGUUUCAUGCGCAUCCGUGUGAAGAGACCACCAAACAGGCUUUGUGUGAGCAGCAUGGCUGUUUAUUUCACCUGGGUGCAGGCGGGCUGAGUCCGAAAAGAGAGUCAGCCAAGGG